UUUGGAUGCGUGUCUCUAAUUCUGAAAUCUUCUCUGUCAGCCUAACUGUUUCCCUGCAUUUAUCACAUGUGAAUCCCUCAUCAGCGACAGAGAUAGAGAUAGACGCACAAUGGCUGAUCUUGCGCUUUUAGAAGAUGUGGCAAAUGGAAGAAUUCGGAGUGAACGCAUCUUUAGACAGCAAGAAGACUUGCUGGCAAACGAGGACGAGUGGCUUAUGAGCUGGUUCCGACUUCCUCGAGCCGUCCUGUUGGACCUCUGCGGGCUUUUGGGCCCGGUGUUACAGAGGAGCACUCGGAGGAACCACGCCGUGCCAGUCCCACUUCAAGUCCUAACAACACUAGGAUUCCUGGCGACUGGCACUUUUCAGAGGGAAUUGGCUGACAGGUCAGGAAUAUCUCAGCCGACCCUUAGCCGGGUAAUGCCAGACGUGUUAAAAGGCAUAAUAGCUUUGUCCCAUGAUUCCAUUAAGUUUCCAUACACGGCGGGUGAACAGGCAAACAAGAAAGCUCAAUUUGCAGCUAUGUAUGGUUUCCCAAAUGUCAUCGGUGCUAUUGACCGCACUCAUGUUGCCAUAAGGGCACCGAACGUUAAUUAAAAUACUUUCAUUAAUAGAAUGGCUUCUAGGUACGUUUGAUUAUAGACAUUCACAUUUUAAUGUACUUCAAUGUCUUAACCCUUUCACUAUCCUUGCAGGGGACAGUGGAUAUCCCCUCAAACAGUGGCUGCUUACGCCUUUCCUCAACCCACAUAGUGCAGAGGAAAGGCACUACAACAUGUGCCACAGUCGAGCUCGCGCUAUAGUGGAGCGCACCAUCGGCCUGUUUAAGGGCAGAUGGCGCUGCCUCGACUGCACUGGAGGGAGGUUAUUGUACACGCCUGAAAAGGUGUGCCAAAUCGUGCUGGCAUGUGCUGUGCUACACAAUGUGGCACAGCUUAAAAACGUGCCUCUACCCCCUGGCGCCGAUUGCUGUGUUGGCCCCGACCCUGAACCCCAUCCCCACGCAUUUGAGCCAAAUGCUGCUGCUGUGCGCCAGCGUUUGGAAGUGAUGCGUCGCUUGUAAAGAACAACAAAAGGACUGCAUCGGUGAGGACACGUCCACUGCUGGAGGGUUGAGAGCCGCGUGCCGUGGAGACGCUGGGUCCAGACGGCUGCUCAGCUGCAGCAUCGUAACCACUGGCCCCGCUGGAACACCCAGCAACUGAAAUAAAAUUGUUCUAUAUUAAUAAACUGUAAUUGUGUAGCCUGCAUACAUGUGACUUGACUGCAUUCAUUUUACUUAUUUCUCUUACCUGUGUCACCCGGUGCAUCUGGCGCGUCAGUGUCCCCCUCCGCCUCAGUCACCACUCCACUUAAUAGGGAUUCCCCAAUAAUUGCCGCCAGUCUCUCAUCAAGAGGGGUCAGCUCCGGUGUCCCCUUUCCGCCUACCCGUGGCAGACACACUCUGGCGAUGGAGCGCAAGAUUUUUUUUUGCCUCGACUUUGAUGUCCGACCAUUUCUUUUUUAUUUCGGCCACAGUCCGAGGUUGUGAGGCUACAGCAUUUACAGCGUCUGCCACCGUUUGCCACUCAAGUGCCUUUUUGGCAUUAGUAAUGCCCACACUGUGCCCUCCAAACAACAUUUUUCUCCUCUUUUCCACCUCGCCAACGAUAACUUCUACUUCACAUUGAGUGAAGUUACGUUUUUUUGAUUUCCUCUCUGUGUUUGCCAUGAUUUCGCAAUCAAUGAAUAUUAACUUGUGGGCGUUUCACGGACUAUUUAUGGGCAACUAUGGGCGUGUCAUUAAGCCGCAAAAGCUGCGCUACAUUUAGAAUUGAUUGUGAUUUAUUAAGGGAAAAAUCCGUAGGACGUGCGUGCGCACGGUUUUAUAAAUCCGAAUAUUUCUGUGCGUACGCACGUCCUAUGUUUCAUCCGUACGCCACUUCUGACGCAAAUCCUACGCAAAGUUUUAUAAAUGAGGCCCCAGGUCUAGGAGGACAGACAGAUAGUGUGAAUGUAUAUAUACUGCUUUUGAACAGCAUAAGAAUACCUGCAGGUAUGGCCUUAGUAAGCACCUUGAAUUCUAUUAAUGUAAUAGGUAUUUUGUAUCUUGAAAUAAAGUCUGCAAGUGAAAAUAAAUUCCCUUCAUUAUUAAAUAGCUGAUUCACUAACAACAAUCCAAUACUAAACCAAUUAUGAAAAAAUAAAGACUUCUUUAUAUUCAAAAUAUUAGCAUUGUUCCAAAUAAAAAAACUAUGAGGGGAGAAAUUGUGUUUAUAGAUAAGAUUCCAGGUAGCAAGUACUUGUUGAUAAAAUUUAGAAAGUUUGACUGAAAGUUUUUCAAUUUUAUAAUUACACAUCAAAAGAAAUUCUAAGCCACCCACAUGAGAAAAUAUAAACCGAGGAAUUAUAUUCCAAAUAAAUGAAGAGUUUUUAAGAUAUUGUCUUAUCCAAUUUAUUUUAAAGUUACUGUUUAGAGAGCUAAAAUCAAUAAAAUUCAACCCACCUUUAUCAUGUGUAUUAAGUAUUACUGAUUUUUUAAUAUAAUGUAUUUUGUUUUUCCACAGGAAUUUUGUCAACAUACUGUCAAUUAGUUUACAUGUGUGUUUGUCAACAGAGAUUGAUUUGAGUGGCAUACGAUAAACGAGAAAUGCCCUCUGCUUUAGUAAGUAGAACUCUGCCUUUGUGUGAUAAAUCUCUUUGCAACCAAUGGUUCAAUACCUUACGUGUCUUUUCAAUAAUUGGAAGAAAAUUGAAAGGGCAUCUAAUUUUAUCAUCUUUGAUUAUUUUAACUCCCAAAUAAGUAACACUCUCUCUCACAGGAAUAUUACAAAUUAAAGAUUCCAAACAAUGACCAACUGGUAGUAACUCACAUUUGUUAAUGUUAAGCGAAGGCCAGAGGCUUUGGAAAGGGGCUCAAGAGUCUCUAAUGCUACCGCAACCUGAGAGGCAUCCUUCAAAAACAAAACGGUAUCAUCCGCUAAUUGACUUAUUACCACUUCAGUGUCAUCAACAGUUAUUCCUUUUAAAGGGCUUUCUCUGAUAUGCAAAUUUAGAAGUUCGGUAGCUAUCAGAAACAGAUAAGGGGAGAUUGGGCAUCCCUGCCUGACUCCACGAAUCAGGGUAAAUCUAGGAGAGGUUCCACUGCUGAGUUUGAUAGAGCUAUUGCAAUUUGUAUAGAGCAUUUUAAUACAUCUACAAAAGAAGUCACCAAAUCCCACCUUACGAAGAGUCUGGAGCAAAAAUUCAUGCUCCAGGCAAUCAAAAGAUUUAUAAUAGUCUAAGAAGAGAAUAAGAGUAUCAUUAGAGAGAAAUUCAGUGUAAUCUAGAAUGUCUAAAACCAGACGUAUAUUAUUAAAGAUGUGUCUUUUUUGUAGAAAGCCAGAUUGACAUUCAUCAAUUAAACUAUUUAAAAUACAUUUUAAUCUUUUUGAUAAAACCAAAGCAAUAAUUUUAUAAUCGUUAUUUAGCAACGUAAUUGGCCACCAAUUAUCAAUUAACAAGGGAUCUUUAUUUGGUUUUGAAAUUAAAGUUAUAAGUCCUUGACACAAAGUCGGAGGAAGCAGGGCUCUUUCUAUACUCUCUUUGAAAACUUUGAGCAAAAAAGGGGAUAAAAGUUUUGUUACAUUUUGCUGUAUUUGACUGAGCAGUAGUUUGGGUGGUUCGCCAAUGUACUAGAUUUCUCUAAUACAUAAAAUAAGUAAGCUUGACCAAAGUUCUUGUGGGGAGAAGAAUUUAUGAAAGGUAGCAGUGUAGCAGUUCUUCAGCAGUGAUGUUAGCAUGUCAUCCUUCAAACAGUCUUAACCCAAAGUACUGUUUGUGAGAACAGACCUUUAUACCUGUUAACAAAUGUGCUAUAAACAAUACGAUAACACCCCAUGGAGAGACAAUGAUAGUGAAACCUUUUGAUGACUUGAAAGGAUCUCCCAUGGAGAGCCCAUUCAUUGACCUGAUGUUGACCUAAGAGGCUGAUUAUAUGGGCCAGUUGUUUCACACUGUUGUGAACAGAGUACAGUUGCCUACAGUUGAUUCCAAAUACAUUCAACCAAAGUUAAUUAAAAACAAAUAAUCUUUCAAUCCCCCCUUUGAUCAUUUUUGAUCACACAUAAUAGAAAGAUCAUA